ensembl:lncRNA
GUCAGAAGUUCGUAUUAUAACGUUCUAAUCCGCGCGAGACUUGGGAGGUUAAUUGACUUGUUAAUAGUGUGCCAGAAAUACAUGUUUCUGGUCAAUUACACGUAAAGAGCAAAAAUGAUAUAGAUAAAUCUAAGGAAGUAGUAGGAUUUUAUGGAAACGAGUACAGAGGUGGAGGGGGACCAUUAAAAAACAAAACAAAAAAAAACAACAAAUGGCGCAUUAGGCUGGAAGGUGGGCUUGACGAUACGCGCGCGCUUGUGAAAGCAGAGCUGCGUGCCUGUUUCCCUGCAUUCCUAUGAAGUGACAAUUCAAAGGCUCUCAGUGUGCAGACUUUGCUCACAGUGCAGGCUGUGUGCUCUACCAAUCUGUGCUUUCUGGUCAUUUCAGCGAGGCUGAUAUCUCUUCGCUCUCAUUCUGAACAAGCCAUGAGCAACUUUUUAAGACGCGCGAGCUGUCCUCAACGUUAACACGUCCGUGUUUGAGGCCAUCAGAUCUUGAGAGUAGAGGUUGGAGAAGACAAGGCUGAGCAUUGCGCAACCUGGGAGUGCCGCUCCUUAUUUUGGAACUGAAUUCUUCUUUUGCUUCCAACAAAAGUGACUCUUUUGGAACCGAUAUAGUUUUAUUUUUUUAAAAAUCCUGAACUGUGAUUGAGUGCUUUUGUGAUAUGAGGGUUUGUG